rnacentral:lncRNA from 1 species
GCUCUCAACAAAUCUGAAAUUUUAAUAAUAAUGAUAAGUGUUUAACAAGGUGGACAGCCAUGCCUUUAAAUAGGCAUUAUAACUAGUCCUAAUCUAAUUAGAAAACUAAAAUAAAAAAAAACUCCUAAUUAUUUUAAUAUAGAAAUUCGGUCAAAGGUCAUUUUAUCUGGGACUCUUGGACUGAAUAUUGACAUAAAAAUUUAAACUAAGUAAAUAAAUAAAUAAAUAAAUAAAAAUAAAAAUAAAACUUUACAACUUGGGCCACUUUGACAAUUUGGCCUGAUUUUCAACUAAGUAUGGAUGGAUUUCUUGAUUGGGCUGGGAAUUUGCUUAUUGGGCCUCGCCUUCAAGAAUUUGGGCUUUUGUGACUCGUAUCAUUCCCCCCUUCCUCAAAAAGAUUCGUCCUCGAAUCUGAAAAAUCAAAUGAACUCGACUUUCCUCUAUCGAACGGGACUAAUGGCAAUUGAGUCCACUGAAAAGAAUAGCCAUGAGAUAGUAAAUAGCAACGGAAACAAGCUUGUAGUCCAAUCAUAAGCAUAACAGAACAGGUAUAACGCAUGUGAAUGGACAGAUUCAGAUUACCAUGCAAACAAUCUAAUUUACUCACCACUGCCUCGUCAAAUAUUUGAAACAAAGAUGGACAUGUUUUAAGGCAUCCAGUCGUCUCACAUUGUUCCCACAAACCAUGAAUAAAUUGCGAGUAAUAAAUCAAAUGGUAAACAUAAUCGUCACAAGUAGGUAUUUGAAAAGAUUCACAUGGUUCACAGAGUUGCAUAAUCGUACCAUGCAUUAAUCGACGGUCUAUAGAUUCACUCACACAUGCAUUAUCAAAAACAAGAAUCUUUUUAUCAACCAUCAAAACAGAUAGAUCAUCAAUAAAUAAAAUAGGACAGUCAAGCACGUUUCGAUCUAAGUGUUCAUCAACACGAUCUUUAUCACUAUCCGAGGAGUACAAAAGUGUUUCAAAGGUGUCAAGCAUCUUACCUCGAUAAGCAGAAGAAUAAGGGUCGAUUUUACCUUUUUCAUUUAAAACAAACCUUCGCUCAUUGGGGGCAUAGUGUAGUCGAAUCUUCGUUGUUGAGUUAACGUUUGUCAAAUGGAACUCAAACUUCAUGUACAACCACAUAAACUGUUUAAGGCACGAAUAUAAAUUGAAAACAAAUUUAGAAAAUUUCGUUACCUUAUUCUCCAAAACAGAUUUGGACAAAUUCAAGGAUUUUACACAAGGUAAAUCAAGAGAAUAACAAAUCACGCUUCUUUUCGUAAUGACUUUAUCAACCACAAUCGAAGAGUAACAAUUAAUCGGAUCAAAAUGAGGGGAUCUUUUAAGAACUAAGUCACCAAAAGUUUUAUCAAUAAUUUUCAAAUCUGCACUGGACUCGGUUUCUAAAAUUUCCUUACCUCGCUUACCUUCGGGAUCAUGUAGUGUGAUUUCAUCUUUGCUUAAGUUGAUCGUAUGAAAGCGUCUUUCAUUUGAGAGGUAUUGAAGUUGAAAGUUAUCUUUCGAUCUUUCAGGAACCUGAAAAGUAGCAACACAAGAAAAAUUCAUAUCUUGGUUAGUGGAAACAUUCCUCACUAGCCUUUCCUCGUCUUUUUCUUUUGUUUCUUUUUCUAACUCAUUUUCUCUUCUUUCUUCAACUUCUUUUUCAAAUUUCUUUUCUGUUUCACAUUCAUUUUCACUCUCAAUCUCUUUUUGCUUUUUUUCAUUCUCUUUUUCUUUUUCCUCACUUGUUUUAACAGAAUUUCUCAGUUUGAUUUGGUCCUCAUGGACUUGUUCCAGAGUGAGCGACACUAAGGUAAGUUUCUUUCCUUGAUGCUUGAAAGAAUACCUAUUGGUACGACCAUCGUGAGUGACUUUUCGAUCCAGUUGCCACGGUUCUCCUAGCAACAAAUGGCAGGCUUGAAUAGGCAUUACGUCACACACAACUUCGUCUUGAUACUUACCGAUAGAAAAGGCGAUGCGCACUUGUUGAGUGACCCUAAAUUGGCCUUCGUUGCUAAGCCCUUGUAGUUGAUAAGGUUGUGGAUGCUUGGUAGUGGUUAAGCAAAGCUUUUCCACCAUCGUCGUGCUGGCUAUGUUCGAGCAACUUUCACCAUCAAUAAUAACUCUACAAAGCUUACCUUGUACAUGGCAGCGAGUAUGAAAGAGAUGUUCUCGUUGCUGCUCGCUCUUUGGUUUUGCCAAAGAUAAUUGUCCACGAUCAUGAAAAUCAUCAUCCAUUCUAGGGACACGUUGAGGGCUGCACCUAUGGGGCUGGUUAUCCCUAUCUUCCUUAAUUGGAUCUCGAUAUUGAUGUUUUUGAUUCACUCGUACCUCAUUCAAAGUAGUAUUCAAUGAUUGAAGUGUAGCAUUUAUUUGUGUGAUUGCAGCAGUAUGUCCGUCUAACUGUUGUUGGACUUUCAUAAGUGCGUCAUUAUUAUCACCUUUAGACAUCUUCAAAACUGUAAAAAAUAAACACUCAACACUCAAAAAUAAAAGUUAGCAAACCUCACCAUUAAUCACUCAAAAAGAAAAAUUAAAUUCUCAAUGAGGUCGAAUUCAAUCUUGUGAGUUCUUUAUCAGAGUUUAUAUCAACCAAUUAGAGAGUGUGAACCAAACUACCAAAGAAUCCUAAUUUGCACUAGGAUGCCAAAAACUGACGAGACACCAAUUGAUUCGUGUUGCAUCGAGGAAGAAGUUGUGCACACGUUUAAAUCCUACUAACACAAGAAACAAGAAGGUGUUAGAUAACGUAAAGGAAGAAUAAAGGUAAACAAAUGAAAACCUACAGCUAAGAAUCAAUAAAAAUUGCUGAAAACAGAAAACCCGAAAAACUGCGGAGUAACUGGACAACUUCGUUCGAGGUGUUCCCGAUCUCCAAAAAUCAUGAAAUUAAAUCUGGAGUGUCCUUAUAUAUUGAAUUUUUGAUCUGGAAAUUUUGGGCACCAAAUUAAACCCGCUGAAUCUUUUUUUAAAUUUUUAUUGAAUUUCGUCUUUUUUGGUUUUUUUGACUUUUUUGACUGAUUUUUUUUGCGGGAAUAAUUUUUUAAUAUUCAAUAACAGUGCCAAAAACAUGUAUGUAAAAUUUCAGAUCAAUCGGACAACGUUUACCCACUCAAAUGAAUUUUUUUUGAACAAUUUUUCUGGGUAAAACUGCUGUUUAUGCUUUAAAAAAUAGAGAUCAGUUUAGAAAUCAACCAAGAACACCCAAAACACCCAAAAUCUGAUACCAAAUGAUACGGGGUUGCGCGCGGACCAAGAUCGAGUUGCCAAGUCACGGGAAACUCCUACGAAAACCCUAAACAAUUAGAUCUGAAACGAAAACAGAAAAUUAAAAGAUUAGAUUUUUGAAUUUUCAGAUCUGAAAUAAAAUCCCCAAAUCAGCAAAGAAUCAAAUUAAGAAUAGAAAUAAGUGUUAGGGUUCUUGAAACCCUCAAGGAGAUUGUGAUUCUGCCCAAUUGAACACCAAGAUAGUUUUACCCAAAUUUCGACAAUCUAAUUUCACCCAAAAGAGUAUGGAAAAACCCUAGAAAUUGGGGAUUUUUGGGCUGAUUCCUUAAGAUAGAAAAAGGCUGAAAACACAAUAAGAACAGAAAAAUAUUAGAUGAUGAAUCGGCACAAGUAGGAAUAAAGAAACAAAUCGAAACAGCAAGAAAUAAAGAAAAGUCCUAAGAACCCUUGAAUUCCCGAAAGAAUUCACAAAUUCCUUCAAACGGCUCUAAUCUCCCCUCCAAAGAAUAUUGAUGGCAAGAAGAAGGUUGAAGAUGGCUCCCACAAUCACAAGAUUGUUAAAACAACUUCUAAAGAAAACUCAAGAGAGAAAUCUUGGAGAAAACUCAAAGAAAAUUCUGCUCUCAACAAAUCUGAAAUUUUAAUAAUAAUGAUAAGUGUUUAACAAGGUGGACAGCCAUGCCUUUAAAUAGGCAUUAUAACUAGUCCUAAUCUAAUUAGAAAACUAAAAUAAAAAAAAACUCCUAAUUAUUUUAAUAUAGAAAUUCGGUCAAAGGUCAUUUUAUCUGGGACUCUUGGACUGAAUAUUGACAUAAAAAUUUAAACUAAGUAAAUAAAUAAAUAAAUAAAUAAAAAUAAAAAUAAAACUUUACAACUUGGGCCACUUUGACAAUUUGGCCUGAUUUUCAACUAAGUAUGGAUGGAUUUCUUGAUUGGGCUGGGAAUUUGCUUAUUGGGCCUCGCCUUCAAGAAUUUGGGCUUUUGUGACUCGUAUCACCAACUUUCAU